GACACUUUGGCCGAGUGGUUAAGGCGGCAGCCUGCUAAGCUGUUGGGUUCUACCCGCGCGGGUUCAAAUCCCGCAGGUGUCG
rnacentral:tRNA from 1 species